rnacentral:rRNA from 1 species
AGAACGAACGCUGGCGGCAGGCUUAACACAUGCAAGUCGAGCGCCCAGCAAUGGGAGCGGCGGACGGGUGAGUAACACGUGGGAACAUGCCCUUUGGUACGGGACAACUCAGGGAAACUUGAGCUAAUACCGUAUGAGCCGGUAACGGGAAAGAUUUAUCGCCAAAGGAAUGGCCCGCGUCCGAUUAGCUAGUUGGUGAGGUAAUGGCUCACCAAGGCACCGAUCGGUAGCUGGUUUGAGAGAACGACCAGCCACACUGGGACUGAGACACGGCCCAGACUCCUACGGGAGGCAGCAGUAGGGAAUCUUGGACAAUGGGGGCAACCCUGAUCCAGCCAUGCCGCGUGAGUGAUGAAGGCCUUCGGGUUGUAAAACUCUUUCGACGGGGACGAUAAUGACGGUACCCGUAGAAGAAGCUCCGGCUAACUUCGUGCCAGCAGCCGC